UGGGGAAUUUUGGACAAUGGGGGCAACCCUGAUCCAGCCAUUCCGCGUGAGUGAAGAAGGCCUUCGGGUUGUAAAGCUCUUUUGUCAGGGAAGAAACACCGGCUCUAACACAGUCCGGGAAUGACGGUACCUGAAGAAUAAGCACCGGCUAACUACGUGCCAGCAGCCGCGGUAAUACGUAGGGUGCAAGCGUUAAUCGGAAUUACUGGGCGUAAAGCGUGCGCAGGCGGUUAUACAAGACAGGCGUGAAAUCCCCGGGCUUAACCUGGGAAUGGCGCCUGUGACUGUAUAGCUAGAGUGUGUCAGAGGGGGGUAGAAUUCCACGUGUAGCAGUGAAAUGCGUAGAUAUGUGGAGGAAUACCAAUGGCGAAGGCAGCCCCCUGGGAUAACACUGACGCUCAUGCACGAAAGCGUGGGGAGCAAACAGGAUUAGAUACCCUGGUAGUCCACGCCCUAAACGAUGCUGACUAGUUGUUCGGGAUUUACAUCCUGAGUAACGUAGCUAACGCGUGAAGUCAGCCGCCUGGGGAGUACGGUCGCAAGAUUA
rnacentral:rRNA from 1 species